AACGAACGCUGGCGGCAUGCCUAACACAUGCAAGUCGAACGGGAUCCGGACUUCGGUCCGGUGAGAGUGGCGGACGGGUGAGUAACACGUGGGAACCUGCCUUUUGGUUCGGGAUAACCGCGGGAAACUGCGGCUAAUACCGGAUGCUCCCGAGAGGGAAAAGAUUUAUCGCCAGAAGAGGGGCCCGCGUCCGAUUAGGUAGUUGGUGGGGGUAAUGGCCUACCAAGCCGACGAUCGGUAGCUGGUCUGAGAGGAUGAUCAGCCACACUGGGACUGAGAUACGGCCCAGACUCCUACGGGAGGCAGCAGUGGGGAAUAUUGGACAAUGGGGGGCAACCCUGAUCCAGCAAUGCCGCGUGAGUGAUGAAGGCCUUAGGGUUGUAAAGCUCUUUUGCCAGGGAAGAUGAUGACUGUACCUGGAGAAUAAGCCCCGGCUAACUUCGUGCCAGCAGCCGCGGUAU
rnacentral:rRNA from 1 species